AGAGUUUGAUCAUGGCUCAGGAUGAACGCUGGCGGCGUGCCUAACACAUGCAAGUCGAGCGAAGCACUUUACUUUGAUUUCUUCGGAGAGAUGAGUGAAUUGACUGAGCGGCGGACGGGUGAGUAACGCGUGGGGAACCUGCCCCAUACAGGGGGAUAACAGUUAGAAAUGACUGCUAAUACCGCAUAAGCGCACAGGACCGCAUGGUCGGGUGUGAAAAACUGAGGUGGUAUGGGAUGGACCCGCGUCUGAUUAGGUAGUUGGUGAGGUAACGGCCCACCAUGCCAACGAUCAGUAGCCGGCCUGAGAGGGUGAACGGCCACAUUGGGACUGAGACACGGCCCAAACUCCUACGGGAGGCAGCAGUGGGGAAUAUUGCACAAUGGGGGAAACCCUGAUGCAGCGACGCCGCGUGAGCGAAGAAGUAUUUCGGUAUGUAAAGCUCUAUCAGCAGGGAAGAAAAUGACGGUACCUGACUAAGAAGCCCCGGCUAACUACGUGCCAGCAGCCGCGGUAAUACGUAGGGGGCAAGCGUUAUCCGGAUUUACUGGGUGUAAAGGGAGCGUAGACGGCGGUGCAAGUCUGAAGUGAAAGGCGGGGGCCCAACCCCCGGACUGCUUUGGAAACUGCAUGGCUAGAGUGUCGGAGAGGCAAGUGGAAUUCCUAGUGUAGCGGUGAAAUGCGUAGAUAUUAGGAGGAACACCAGUGGCGAAGGCGGCUUGCUGGACGAUGACUGACGUUGAGGCUCGAAAGCGUGGGGAGCAAACAGGAUUAGAUACCCUGGUAGUCCACGCCGUAAA
rnacentral:rRNA from 1 species